rnacentral:rRNA from 1 species
AAAUUGAAGAGUUUGAUCAUGGCUCAGAUUGAACGCUGGCGGCAGGCCUAACACAUGCAAGUCGAACGGUAACAGGAAGCAGCUUGCUGCUUCGCUGACGAGUGGCGGACGGGUGAGUAAUGUCUGGGAAACUGCCUGAUGGAGGGGGAUAACUACUGGAAACGGUGGCUAAUACCGCAUAACGUCGCAGGACCAAAGAGGGGGACCUUCGGGCCUCUUGCCAUCAGAUGUGCCCAGAUGGGAUUAGCU